rnacentral:tRNA from 1 species
GGGUGUGUGGCGCAGUUGGUAGCGCGUUUGCUUUGCAUGCGAAAGUCCUGCGGUUCGAAUCCGGACACGUCCA